rnacentral:rRNA from 1 species
CCGGCGACCGGCGGACGGGUGCGUAACGCGUAUGUAACCUACCUUUGACAGGGGGAUAACAUCGAGAAAUUGGUACUAAUACCCCAUAACAUCACCGGAGGCAUCUUCGGUGGUUGAAAACUCAGGUGGUCAGAGAUGGACAUGCGUUGUAUUAGCUAGUUGGUGAGGUAACGGCUCACCAAGGCGACGAUACAUAGGGGGACUGAGAGGAAGGUCCCCCACACUGGUACUAAGACACGGACCAGACUCCUACGGGAGGCAGCAG